AGAAUCAACGCUGGCGGCGUGCCUAACACAUGCAAGUCGAACGAGAAAGUGGAGCAAUCCAUGAGUAAAGUGGCGCACGGGUGAGUAACACGUGACUAACCUACCCUUGAGUGGGGGAUAACCUAGAGAAAUCUGGGCUAAUACCGCAUAAUACCUUCGGGUCAAAGGAGCAAUUCGCUUAAGGAGGGGGUCGCGGCCGAUUAGUUAGUUGGCGGGGUAAUGGCCCACCAAGACUAUGAUCGGUAUCCGGCCUGAGAGGGCGCACGGACACACUGGAACUGAAACACGGUCCAGACUCCUACGGGAGGCAGCAGUGGGGAAUUUUGCGCAAUGGGGGAAACCCUGACGCAGCAACGCCGCGUGGAGAUGAAGUCCCUUGGGACGUAAACUCCUUUCGAUCGGGACGAUAAUGACGGUACCGAGAGAAGAAGCCCCGGCUAACUUCGCGCCAGCAGCCGC
rnacentral:rRNA from 1 species